UAAUUGGAGAGUUUGAUCCUGGCUCAGAGCGAACGUUAGCGGCAGGCCUAACACAUGCAAGUCGCACGAGAAUCUGGCUUCGGCCAGUAGUAAAGUGGCGGACGGGUGAGUAACACGUGGAUAAUCUGCCCAUCGGCGGGGGAUAACUGUCCGAAAGGAUAGCUAAUACCGCAUACGUCAGCGAGGUCUUCGGGUCUUGCUGGGAAAGAUGGCCUCUCCAUGGAAGCUAUCACUGAAGGAUGAGUCCGCGUCCCAUCAGCUAGUUGGCGGGGUAAUGGCCCACCAAGGCUAAGACGGGUAGCUGGUCUGAGAGGAUGAUCAGCCACACUGGAACUGAGACACGGUCCAGACUCCUACGGGAGGCAGCAGUGGGGAAUAUUGGGCAAUGGGCGCAAGCC
rnacentral:rRNA from 1 species